UUGGCGGAGGCCAGAGGUCAAUAAAUACGACACAUUUUUUGAUAGAAGAAGAAAAAACAUACAGGCUAGAAUGCAUACAUGACGCUAAGGCAUUACAUUAGUACAGCGUAGCUUUGAAAAACAAGCAGGAUGUUGUCAGUAUUUACCUAAUUUCAGGUAAAGUUCUUGUUGCUCCUGUAAAUAUAUUUAAUUACCAGCAAAAACCUAUCCUAUGGAUAUUUUAUUGCUUGGCCUACAGCGCUUGUCCACUUUGCUCAUGUAUGAAAACUCAGACAUGUAUGUUAAUGUUAUCAUGUUAUUAUUUUCAUGUUCAUUAAAUCGCUGUAUAUAAUCAAAUGGCAAAACCAGCAAUUCAUAAACACCAAUCAAAUGGAAAAAAAACUUCUUUGCAAGCUACAUAUUUAUUGUUUCAGACAAAGUAAUAAAUUACAGCUACCAGUAAAGUCACUGCUUGAUGAUCACUUAUUUUCAGAUGUGCAUGACACCAUAUUUUAGUUACCCCAAAGUGCCACUGCACUAAAAAUUGUUUUAUUUACAAAAAACAGUGUAUAUAUAAUGUGAACAAUGUACACUUACAUAUAAUGUACACGUAUUGUGAACAGUGUACAGGUAUGUUUUGAGAUCAGCUAAUUAGGAUAUGAGUGUUCUAAAAAUAAUUCCCAUAAGCUUUACAUAAUUUACUUCCUCCAGAUUAAUUAAUGUGUCUAGGAGGAGUAAGGUAAGAGAUAUAGAUAUAGAUGUACAGACAAUUUAAUAUUUUGCAUCAGGAAAAGAAAAAUGUCAAAUUAAAAUUUGUGCUGUCAGCGUUAAUCUCGUUAAAAUGACAUUAACGCUGACAGCACUAAUUAAAAUAUGAAGUUACUGUACUGUAAGUCCAGGGCUCUUGUCGUUGUAUAUAUUUAAAUGCUUACUGAACCUAAGGCACAUCUUCCUAUUAUACUUGAGAGCAGCUCGGUCAUCUGGCUGAAGCCGUGCAGUCAGUAGAGUCUGUGUUUUCUUCUUAAGAGACCUCUUUUCUGGCAACCACUGCCCCCUCUGUCUCAUCCUCAGGCUUCUUUUGACUUUUAGUUUGUUCCCUGACACACAUGCGCACACGCACACAUUGUCGCAGACAUCAUAUGUGUCAACACAAAACGAUGCACAUUAGAGCUCAUAAUAUAAAUGAUUCAUAGCAGUGGACACUGUGUGUGUGUUUGUGUCGUACGCUCUAGGCUUUAAUCCAUCACGUCAACUGUCACAUGGCUGCCUUCCAUUUGAACUCCUCAUGGCUAACAGUGUAUCUGUGACAGAAUACUGUAUGCUUCAUGGCAAACAUUCACAUCUUUAAAAACCGAUGUGUGUGAGCCAGUAAAAUGUAGAUUAUGUUGACUCGCUGACUUUGACAAAGUCAAAUCAGUGAUUCGAUCAACUGCAUCUGAAUGAAACUGUUUAAAUGUGGCUGUGUGUUCAGCAGGUUAGCACAGGACUGAGCUGAAAGCUGUAAAUUGCAUGAAGGACAGGAGGUGGAGUUGUUUCACUGAGCCGCUGGCCUCUUGUGAACUUCCUCUGAAGAAGGAUGUCGAAAGAAGAGUCAAGGAAAGUUCAAACUCAGAAAAUCAAGAAAACGAAGCAGAAGGACGGAGCUGGAGGAGAGGCGGCAAGGAUGGGUCAGAUAGGAGACUAGAGUAAAUGUUGGAUGAUUUUAUCUGUGAUAAUCAUGAACGGAUGUUUCAGCAGAUAAAAUUUUUAAAUAAUAAUAAUACUAAUAAUAAUAAAUUUUAAUUAAAAGGUGCCUUUGAAGACACCCAAGGACACUUAACAAUAGAAUAAAAUCAUAAUAGAGAUGACAAAAUGAAGAACAAUAAAACAAAAGCACAAAAUAAAAUUAACAAACAGUGUUUUCACAGUGAAUAUGCAGAUUUGAACAGAUGAGUUUUGAGUUGAGAUUUAAACUGGGGGAGAGAACCAAUGUUUCUUCUAUCUGGGGGCAGAGAGUUCCACAGUCUGGGAGCAGAGCAGCUGAAAGGUCUGCUUCCCAUGGUGGUGAGGUGGAAAGAAGGCACAGCAAGUUGAAUAGAAGAAGAAGAUUGAAGUGAGCGGGCAGAAGAGGUAGUGUUUAACAGAUCAGAAAGGUAAGGAGGUGCGAGGUUUUGAUGGCCUUGAAGGUGAGCAGAAGAAGUUUGUAUAUUAUCCGGAAUUUCGCUGGGAGCCAGUGAAGUUCCUGAAGAACAGGGGUGAUGUGCUGGUAGGAGGGGGUUCUGGUGAUAAUGCGGGCAGCAGAGUUUUGAACCAGUUGAAGCUUCUGGAGGGAUUUUUGGGGGAGACCAUGCAAGAGAGAAUUACAAUAGUCAAUGCGGGAGGUAACGAGACUGUGGACAAGAAUGGACGUAGACUGGUGGAAAGAGAAGGACGUAAUCUGUUAAUGCUGUGUAGAUGGAAAUAGGCAGUGAGAUUGUUGAUGUGCGAUUUAUAGGAUAGUGAACUGUCUAGGUAGGAUGACACUUCCCCAUUGAUAAAUUAAAUUAAUAUCAUUAUAUGAUUUCCUUUUAUCAACUGAAUCUGCUUUGCUGUAUUUACAUUUUGAAUCUCCACAUAGAGACACAAAGGCCCCAGUCUGCAAACCACAGAACUUCUUAUUGCUAGACACCACAGGGCAGCCCCAGAGGUCCCAUGUCCAUGGCCUAACAGGUCAGAGCUGAUUUGGUGGGCUGAUGGGCACCUGCGCAAUGUUAAUGUGUGGCAGUGUGAACAUAAUGUGUAGC
ensembl:lncRNA